rnacentral:rRNA from 1 species
CUACGGGAGGCUCCAGUGGGGAACAUUGCACAAUGGAGGAAACUCUGAUGCAGCAACGCCGCGUGGAGGAUGACACUUUUCGGAGCGUAAACUCCUUUUAUAUAGGAAGAAGAUGACGGUACCAUAUGAAUAAGCGCCGGCUAACUCCGUGCCAGCAGCCGCGGUAAUACGGAGGGCGCAAGCGUUACUCGGAAUCACUGGGCGUAAAGAGCGUGUAGGCGGAUUAAAAAGUCAGAAGUGAAAUCCUAUAGCUUAACUAUAGAACUGCUUCUGAAACUCUUAAUCUAGAAUAUGGGAGAGGUAGAUGGAAUUUCUGGUGUAGGGGUAAAAUCCGUAGAGAUCAGAAGGAAUACCGAUUGCGAAGGCGAUCUACUAGAACAUUAUUGACGCUGAGACGCGAAAGCGUGGGGAGCAAACAGGAUUAGAUACCCCCGUAGUC